rnacentral:rRNA from 1 species
UGGGGAAUAUUGGACAAUGGGCGCAAGCCUGAUCCAGCCAUGCCGCGUGAGUGAUGAAGGCCUUAGGGUUGUAAAGCUCUUUUGCCGGGGACGAUAAUGACGGUACCCGGAGAAUAAGUCCCGGCUAACUUCGUGCCAGCAGCCGCGGUAAUACGAAGGGGACUAGCGUUGUUCGGAAUCACUGGGCGUAAAGCGCACGUAGGUGGAUUUGUAAGUCAGGGGUGAAAUCCCGGGGCUCAACCUCGGAACUGCCUUUGAUACUGCAAGUCUUGAGUCCGAUAGAGGUGGGUGGAAUUCCUAGUGUAGAGGUGAAAUUCGUAGUUAUUAGGAAGAACACCGGUGGCGAAGGCGGCCCACUGGAUCGGUACUGACACUGAGGUGCGAAAGCGUGGGGAGCAAAC